UGCCAGCAGCCGCGGUAAUACGGAGGGGGCUAGCGUUGUUCGGAAUCACUGGGCGUAAAGCGCACGUAGGCGGACUGAUCAGUUGGGGGUGAAAGCCCGGGGCUUAACCUCGGAACUGCCUUCAAUACUGUCAGUCUUGAGUUCGGGAGAGGUGAGUGGAAUUCCUAGUGUAGAGGUGAAAUUCGUAGAUAUUAGGAAGAACACCAGUGGCGAAGGCGACUCACUGGCCCGAUACUGACGCUGAGGUGCGAAAGCGUGGGGAGCAAACAGGAUUAGAUA
rnacentral:rRNA from 1 species